rnacentral:tRNA from 1 species
GCCCAGAUGGUGAAAUUGGUAGACACGCCAGCUUGAGGGGCUGGUGAGCGCAAGCUUGUGGAGGUUCAAAUCCUCUCCUGGGCACCA